CCCCCGCCUCCAGCUGCGGGCCCGCGCUCCGCGUUCACCGGGCCUGGGCCCGCCUCUAGGCCGCUUUCGCUUUCGCUUUCCUGCCGAGACCGUUGAGGAAAAUGAAAGUGCCUAUGGCCAGGGCCGGCGCAGCUGCCGUCGGGGCGAGGGGCGCAGCGUGCGGGGCCGCCGGCCUGAAGCCAGCGAGCUGGGGCCGUAGCCCGCGCCGGGCGAGGCAUGGAGAGCAGCUAGACCAGGAUGCCACCUCCACCCCAAGGCCCUGUCCAGAUGGCAGUAGGCCCUGGACUUCUCUGCAAAGCAGGCAGUCCUAAGGCUGGACAGCAGAGAAACAAUAAAAUGGACUCCCUUCUCCUGAAAACAAGAAAGCUAGCCACUAGCCACGGAGGCCAAGGACGGUGCCUGGCAUAUCUGAUGACUGGAUAUAUGAAGAAAAAUGUAUGACAGGACUACUGACUAUUUAUACAAGGCCUUGAGACAAGGGAAAGAGCAUUGAGGUUUCUGUCAGCAUUAGCAGGAGCAUUAACAAGCCAAGUGCCAGAGUUUGCAGCCUAUUGAAGGAAGACAACAUCAAGGGAUAGCUGGAAGACUGGGCACAACUGGGCCUGGAGACAGAGAGACUACAAAUGGCCUCUCUAGUACAACAGCCUGGUACUUGGACUUCUUGCGUGGUACCUCGGGGUUCAGUGUGAAUGUUCCAGCCAGCAAUAUGGAAGCUGCAGCACCUUUUAUGGCCUGGCUUUGGAAAUCACAGAGCAUCACUUCUGCUGUAGUCACAAGCCCAUCUAUAUUCACCGAAGGAGACAAAGACAUACCUCAAUGGAAGAAGUGUCAAAAAAAAUUUGUAGCCAUGUUUGUUUACUACACUCUGGAAUGGGGUGAUAUGUGCCUGGGGCAGGCUUGGGUGUGCAGCAGUGGAAGGGAGUGCAUUGAGUCCCACUGUUCAUUCUUCACACUUUGCGCUCGUCACUCUCUUUUCAUCUUUGAAAAGGUUCAUCUGCCUCUCUUCUGCCAGGGUUUCUCCUGUUUAAUGUCUUCAGUCUCCUGCUAUAUGGGACACAGUGUAGGGUGGGACCUGGGAGGAUUCCAAACAAUUGCUGUGGUUCCUUACCCCACCCACUCUGUACCUGACCUGACUCUCCCCAAGGCCUGAGCUCCCCCAGAGUUCUGAGGGUGAAGUAGCUUGCCUUCUGUCAGUGUCCGCCUCUGUGGGCCCUUAAGAAACUAGCUUCUUCCACAUCAGCCAUCAUUCUCCAUCUGUUUUCCAGCUUCCCAGAGUUUGCUGAAAUCUCUCAUCCACUGAUGUCUCUACCAUUCUAUUUGCUCUUGAGGAUUUAUACCAUUUUAAUUCUUGACUAGCAUUUUAGUGUCACUUCAGAGAGAAAGGAGAUCGAGCCACGUAAAUAACCUGAUGUUUAAUGGAAGCCUGUUAUACUUAUUUUGGAUGGAUGCAUGGUAUCUCUAAAUUGUGUUAUAAUCUUCCCUGCCUUGUUAAAGCAGUUAAGUAGUACACACGUUUGAUGUUUUGUGGAUAAUUUAGAAUCAUCUUUAUGGACAUACAUUUUUACCUUGGAAUUAUUAAGCUAAAUAGAGCUAUCUGUCCCUCCAUGAUGAGGACCUAGAUCACUGUGCUAAAAUUCCUUAAACCCUUUUUCAUGGUCAUUUCUGUCUCUGACUGCCUCUUGUCCCUUUUAUUUGCAGUAAAGGUGCCACAUUAUAGCACAGUAACUUCUAAUUUACUUCUUUUAAAUGGCUAGUAAACUAGAUGACCAUGUAGGGUAUCCCCCCACCAGCCUGCCUCUACUCAUAUUCUACCCUUCCCCACACCUUCCAGUAUUUGACCUUUGUGGGUUGGGUCAGCGAGGCUCUAUGUCCUCAUGCUUUCAGUUGGGUUUGGCUAGUUGAAGACCUCUUCAGGAGCAGGGGAGGGUAUAGCUCAGUGGUAGAGUGUGUGCUUAGCAUGUACGAGAUCCUGGGUUUAAUCCCCAGUACCUCCGUAUAAACAAACAAGCAAACAAACCUAAUUACCACCUCAAGACAAAACAUAAAAAUUACACAUUUAAAUAAAAUAUGUGUAUAAAAAGAGGUUAAAAAAGACCUCUGCAGGAGAUUAGAGAGUAAUGUUAGGGUAUGUUGAGGUGCUUUAUCCCCCUCCCAACUCCCUCCCUUGCCCAGCCUCAGGUCAGCAAGUCUGUAUUCUAAGUAAGUUCAUUUCUAAAUAAGUUUGUUUGUGUCAUUUUUUUAGAUUCCACAUAUAAGUGAUAUCAUAUAUUUGUCUUUCUCUGACUAACUUUACUUACUAUGAUAAUCUCUAGAUCCAUCCACGUUGCUACCAGUGACAUUAUUUCGUUCCUUUUUACGGCUGAGUAGUAUUCCAUUGUAUAUAAAUACCACAACUUCUUUAUCUAGUCAUCUAUUGAUGGACACUUAGGUUGCUUCCAUGUCUUGGCUAUUGUAAAUAGUGCUUCUGUGAACAUUGGGGUGCAUGUAUCUUUUCGAAUUAGAGCUUUCGUCUUUUCUGGUUAUAUGCCCAGGAGUGGGAUUGCUAGAUCAUAUGGUAACUCUGUUUUUCUUUUUCUUUUUUUUUUCUGAGCAGGAGGUAAUUAGGUUUAUUUAUUUAUUUUUAUUUACUUUUUUAAAGGAAGGUACUAGGGGUUGAACCCAGGACCUCAUGCAUGCUAAGCACACACUCUACCACUGAGCUAUACCCUCUCCCCUUCUAUAUUCAGUUUUUUAAGCAGCCUCCUUACUAUUCUCCACAGUGACUGCACCAAUUUGCCUUCCCACCAACAGUGUAGGAGGGUUCCUUUUUCUCCACACUCUUUCCAGCAUUUAUUAUUUGUAGACUUUUUAAUGAUGGCCAUUCUGACUGGUUUGAGGUGAUACCUCAUUAUAGUUUUGAUUUGCAUUUAUUGAAUAAUUAGCAGCGUUGAGCAUCUUUUCAUGUGCCUAGUGGCCAUCUGUAUGUCUUCUUUGAUGAAAUGUCUGUUUUGAUCUUCUGCCCAUUUUUUAAUUGGGUUUUUUGAAAUUGAACUGUGUUAACUGCUUGUGUAUUUUGGAAAUUAUUCCCUUGUCAGUUGCAUUGUUUGCAAACAUUUUUUCCCAUUCCAUAGGUUGUCUUUUCGUUUUGUUUAUGGUUUCCUUUGCUGUGCAAAAACUUUUCAGUUUAAUUAGGUCUCAUUUGCUUAUUUUUGCUUCUAUUUCCGUUACUCUAGGAAAUGGAUCCAAAAAAAUGUUGCUGUGAUUUAUGUCAAAGAAUGUUCUGCCUAUGUUUUCCUCUAGAAGUUUUAUAGUAUCCAGUCUUACAUUUAGGUCUUUAAUUUGAGUUUGUUUUUGUGUAUAGUAUUAGAGAAUAUUCUAAUUUCAUUCUUUUACAUAUAGCUUUUCAGUUUUCCCAGCAUCAUUUAUUGAAGAGACUGUCUUCACCAUCAUAUAUUCUUGCCUCCUUUGUCAUAGAUUGACCAUAAGUGCACAAGUUUAUUUCUGGACUCUCUGUUCUGUUCCACUGAUCUAUAUGUCUGUUUUUGUGCCAGUAUUGGAGUAGUUUGAGGAGGAAAAUAAGCACGUAGAUAAAAGGAAACCAGGAAAGAGAAUUUGUGUUGGUUUUCAGAAAUUAUAUGACAGGCUGGAAAAUAUCAACAGUUUCAAAAAAGGGUUAAAUACCUUCCUGAUACUAGGUCCUUGUUGGGCCUUAAGGUAAAGUGAAUGUUUGAGGGACAUCCAGGCCGUGUGUGGGUGGGAUUCCCCUAGAUGUGACAUUAGGGGUCCCUCAGGUCAGACUCACCAGGCCUGUGUGCUUUCAGGUCAAUAGCUUCUUUGAUGCUUUUGCUCUGGGGAAUGCCAUGUGCUUGUCUAUCCACUGGGCUGAAGGUUAACUGGAGCCCAGUGAGGCCCAUGGGCUUGCCCUUAUCACAUCUCGCACCCUUGCAGCAGCUAAGCUGUCCUGUGGCCACCUCUGAGAUCAGCCUGCGUGACUCUCCUGCUGGAGUGCUUCUUGGGUUCUCUCACCUCCUCACUCUACUGCCCAGUCAGGCCUCAGUUCUGUUGAAUUUAUGCACCCCUUUGAAGCACGCAUACCUCUAGGGAGAAAGUAGAAUCAAGAACUCUUCCUGGCCACCCGUUUCCUGAAGCACAAAAAGGAUACAUUUCUUAAACGCUUCUUAAAGACGACAACAGGAAGGGGUAGUGCCACUCUGGCUGGCGGGGGUUGCCUUUGUGGUAUUUCACAGGCAGGGCGAUGAGAUGGCACACUGGGGCUGAGGACCCAGCCAGGGGCAGCACAGGCACAGCCCUCAGGGCCUAAGCUUCCUGGCCUACUCCAGCAGAGCCAUGGACCUUCCUGGGCAGAAGGAAAAGGCCUGGGAAGCAUCACCUCAGUUUCACCAGGGGAACCCAAAGCCAGGGAAAUAAAGAACUGCAGCUUCAGUGGAGAGAUACUUCUACAUUCUUACCCUGGCUUCCUUAUUCAUGAUUUUUCCUUUCUUUCUUUUUUUUUUUUUUUUACCUCUAGGGAUUUUUCUUUUUAAUUUGAGGAGUGGGGAGUGGGGACUGGGCAGUUGGAGACAGAUUUGUUUGUUUUUAACAUCUUAAGUGAUGUAGGCUUUUUCAGUUUAGCUUGUCUUCUUCCAGCCCACGCCACUCUGUCCCUCAGCCAAGUGAGCCCAGCCGAGGCCCCCGCCAGCGUCCCGCCCAGCAGAGGUGCAAGAGCCCCAGGCCCAACCUGUUCACUCUUGCUCUGUAAACGCCAUUCUGGGAAGCAGAUAUGCAGGGACACAGCCAGAAGAGCCAGCCUAUGGCCAGAAAGUGGAGGGCCCCGGAGGGCUGGGGGAGGCUUCUGAGGUCUCUCUGCAUAGCCCCUCACAUAGCAGAAGGUUCAUGGUCCAUGCAUUUCUGGGAAAGUGAAUGGGGCCCAGGUAGGCAAAACACCUGAGUAGUAUAUAUAAGUCCAUGUCCUGUCUUGUCUUUUCCAAGCUGCCUAUAGUUUGUUUAGAGUAUGCUGGAAUUCAGCCAUUGCUAGGGUGGCUGCCACUAACCACAUGGAGAGGAAGGAAAAUUCUCAGCCCAAGCACUUGAGCCAAGCCUGACACGGUCCUCAGCAAGAUGUUGCAAGUUCCUAAUCUGGACCCAGAGCCAGGGAUUUUAAGCAUCAUCUGAAGACCAGAGUUGACUGUUACCCACAAGCACAGACACCCUGAGUGGGUCCUACACACCCCCACCCUUGCCUGGGACGAUGCCAGGGCCCACCUGUUCCCAUCAUAUACCAUUACAAACUGAUGCAACCAGCUUUCAACAGACACUGCCAGGGAAGAAACAUAUUACAACAGCAUGCUGUAAUACUUCCUCUACCCAUGCAGAAGGCUUCAUCACAUCAACAAAGCUGGACCUCCUUUUCUCUCUCCACCAAGAUGGAAGUGCCUUUUGUCAGGGCCAUUUGAGGCUUUUGAAUGGAUCUGCUUUUCCCAAGAAAUUAAACCAGUGGCUUUCAAUUUUGGCUGUACAUUACAAUCUAGAAUACAAAAAAAAUACUGAUGCCUGGGCCUCAUUCUCACCCCAGAGAUACUGACUGAAUUGAUCUGGGUUUUAAAAACUUCUUUACUGUCAGAGUUCUUGAAGAACAAGAAGACAUGACAACUAAAUGGAAUGAGAGAUUCUAGAUUGGAUCCUGGAACAGAAAAAAAAAAAACCCUUAGCAAGACACUGAUGAACCCUGGAUAAAUCAGCAGUUUAGUUAAUAGUAUCGUUGGACCACUGUAAACUUCUUAUGUUUGAUGACUAUACUAUGACUAUGCAAGAUACUAUCUUUUGGCAAACCAAGUACGUAUAAGAGAAUUCUGUACAGUUCUGACACUGUCUAUGAGUCUAGAGUUAUUCAAAAUAAAGUUUUUUAAUUGAAAAAAAAUUUUUAAGUUCUUUAAACAUCUAAGUCUUUAUUGAAGUAUAACAUACAUGCAAAAAAGAAAAAAGGAAAAGAAAAAAACAUAAACCAUAAGUGUAAAGCUUGGUGAAUUUUCACAAAGUGAAUUUACCCCAAGUAAUCUGCAUCCAGAUCAAGAAGCAACAUCACCAGCAUCCCCUGGUGCCCCUAAGGGUAACCACCAUUCUAAUUUCUAACAGUAUAAAUCAGCUUUGCUUGUUUUUGAGCUUUAUAUUAUAUAAGUGGAAUUAUGCAGUAUAUAUUCUUUUGUGUCUGGCUUCUUCCAGUCAACAUUGUGUUUGUGAGAUUCAUCAAAGCUGUUGCUUAUAGUUGUAGUUAGUUCAUUCUCAUUGCUAGAGUAUUCCACCAUGUGGAUAUUCAUCCAUUUAUCUACAUUUGGGUACUUGGGUUAUUGUUGGCAGUUUGGGGUUAUUAUGAUUACUGCUAUGAGCAUUCGUUGGUGUCUUAGAGCACAUUUGCAUGCAUUUCUGUUGAGUCCGUACUUGGACAUGAAAUUGCUGGUCAGGUCUCAAAAUUAGUAUGUUCAUCUUUGGUACCUUAUGCCAAACAAUUUUCCAAAGUGACUGUACCAAUUUACACUCCCCUUGGCAAUAUAUGAGAGUUCUGGUUGCUUCACAGAAUCUUUGCCAACAAUUGGUAUUUUCCGGCUUUUUCACGUUAGCCAUUCUGGUGAGUGUGUGAUGAUAUUACAUUGUGGUUUUAAUUUGCAUUUCUCUGAUGACUAAUACAGUUGAGCACCUUUUCACAUGUCUAUUAGCCAUUUAGAUCCUCUCUUUGCAAAGUGCCUGUUGAAGUGUUUGGGUAUGAGUACUUUUAAGAAGACCCUUAGGUGGCUCUGUGUGCAGCCAAGUUUAAAGAUCAUUGAGCUGAACCACAACUUAGUAUCUACUGUUCUGUUUUGUGACGUCCUGCUUUUGAGUUUAGCGUAUUUUGGAUCUGAGGGGACCUGAUGGACCUGUAGAAAGAUAACCUUCACCUGCCAUACCAAGAUGAGCUACCAGGAAGAAGGAAGAGACUAGAGCUAGAGUUUAGGCAGUUGAGAAUCUUUGGGAAUGUGGCCUCCACUUCACAAGGGUUCAGGGAGGACCUGUGGUGUCCACAACUGCCACAGAUAUUUCCUAACCACAAAAAUGAUCCCUUGCUGGUCCCCCUGGAGCCCUAGCAAUCAUGUGGAAGAAGUGAAGGGGGCCCCAUACCAGGUACUUCCCAGUUUCUAGGCCAGCAUAAAUGGGACACAGCUCAUGGAGGGUUGUGGUCAGGCUGUGGACAGUGGAGCAUCUGUUCCAGGGACCUGAGUGGGGUUGAGGGAGGCCUGCUGUCUGUGGCCUCUCUCCUGGGUGAAAGAGAAGUCUGGGGGGUCUCCUACAUGGAUCCAGGCCAGCUCUUGAGUUCUGUGGGUUUACAUAUAGGUCCCAGUUGUUAUUCCCUCACCUGUAAUGGUCUCCUCUAUCUUCUGCUCUACCUUGGGGGCCCUGCACCAGGACCUUCCUUGGCCACCCCACCCCAACUUGACCCCUUACUCUUCUAAGCUCCUGCAGCACUUAGAGAGAUAGCACACAACAUGGCUCCUGAUUACACAUUGCCUUCUAUUGAGUCCCCAUUGCAUCAUCUAUGUUCAUCUUGUCCCUGCCUCUGGACUGCAGCCUCAUCCCAGGGACCACUGGGCAUUUCUUCAUGCUCCCCCACAGUGAGUUAAGUGGCAUUUGGUACCUCAGUGAUAACAUUCUCCAAAUUGAACAUGAAGAUGCAGUAAAAAUAUAGACCACGUUCAGAGUCAGCAUUUUCCUCCCCUCAAACUGGAGCUGUGCAGGUACCAAGCAGUGCUUCCUUGUGUGAGCUCUGUGUUGGCACAUGUGCCACAUGUCUGGUAGGCAGGUUGGACCACCAGCAGGGGACUAGGAUGCUGGUGCCUGACUAGGUGUGCAUAAAGGCCCCUCAGGCAGAGGGGCUUUGCAUACCCUGAUGAAGUUCACCAGAAUGCCCAAGAGCCCACACCGUGUGCUCUUUGAAAAGAGCAGGGUCCACAUUCUGUUGAUUGAAGUCCUGCCAGCUGCAUGACGUGAGGUAAGGGUCAAGGAGGCACGUGGGCAAAGUUGACAUUUUGGAGGCUGAUGAGCACAGAGCCAACUCCGUGUUCUCAGUUAUGCUGUUUCCCAUGGAUUCAGUCCCAUCUUGGAAAUUGCUCUGGGCAUAGAGCAUUUCAUGUCUAAUAGUCCAAAUGUAGAUGUUGGGAUCUCCUUGAUUGGCGCAAAUGGUAGCCUGAACCAACCAGCAACCAAAGUGCUGUCUGAAGCCUGGGAAGAACACUCUCCCCGGCAGUGUAUGAGAAUUCCAGUUGCUUCACAUCCUUGUCAAUGACUGGCAUUUCUUGUCUUUUUCAUAUUUGCCAUCUGAGUCUCAUAAAAAGAGACACUCUUCUUCCACUGAUCCUGCAUCUCAGCCUCUCCCCUUUCUUCCAGUCCUCAGCAGUCAAGCCCUUCAGUUCUGUCAAACCUGGGUCUUCAGACUCCUUCUCCACUGGCUUCUGUGGUGCAAUGUUUGGCAUGAUCCUAUCUCCAACGUCCAUGCAAUGAUUCUCUCCACCCCUUCCCCAUGAUGUACAGCCAUGUUGUCAGCCCCUUGUGGCCGAGAUUCUAGAAGGAGACGUCUUCUCUCUCCUCCUCUUCAUCCUCAUCCACUCAUUUAUUCAGCAAGUAUUCAUUUUAUCCCUGUCUGUGUUGGGCACAGUGGUCAGGUUCAACAGUGAGCAAGACCACCUGGCCUUGCUCUCAUGAAGCUUGCAAUCAAGUAGGGUAGACAGAUAUAAAUUGUUAGCAAGUGCUUUUGUAAAGGCAGUUGUGAUAGGUGCUGCCACAGCCCAGUAGCACGGGGCAAUUCCUUUCUGCCCUUAUGCACCUGCAAAAGUCUGCUCAUCUUUUGGGGCUCAGUUCACAUGCCACCUCAGCUGUGUUGCCUUCCCAACACUGCACCUGCAGACAGGGCAGCCUGCUGGGCCCACAGCAGCUUUGGGUAUAACUGCUCCCCACAGAGGCUGAAAUCUGAGGACGAGACCAGACCUUGGAGCCCCCUGCCUGGCACAGAGCCCAGUGCAUCAGAGGUGCUCAGUAGAUGGAUGCAAAUCCCUGCCAAGACCGAGCCAAAGUAUGUGAACAUCUCUAGGGGCUGAGAAUUCAUUGCUUUCUUCUUCUUUUUUAAAAAUAGCCUUUUGUUUCUUCUUACUAUUAUAAAAGUAAUUUUAGGUCGCAAUAGUGUGAAUUUACUUAACAAUACUGAAUUUUACAUUUAUAAAUGGUUAUGAAUAUAAAUUUUAUGUUAUGUAUAUUUUACCACAAUUAAAAAAACCAUAAUGCAAAGAUUAGGUACAAAAAACGAGGCAAAUAUCUAUAUUAUCAAGAAAUAAAGAAUGAAGUAUUUGAUUCAGACAAAAUUGGGUUAAAAAGUAGGUAGUUUAGAUCAAGGAAAUAUAAAUCAAAACCACAAUGAGAUACCACUUUACACCCUUUAGGAGAGCAAUUACCAAAAAAAAAAAAAAAACAAACCAGAAAAUAGUAAGUGUUGGUGAG